AUCAUCCUGAAGUGCGCGCCAGCAUCUUGUUUUUACCCACACUUCCUAAGUGGAACUCGCGUUCGUCAGCAGCUGUCAGGCCCCCGUCGCAAGACGUCAGGGGAAGGCAAACCCUGUCGGUAGAGUACCAGCCUGCUAUACAUAGCGGGUGAAAAAACCAGGUGCAGCGGCACUUUGGGUGCUC
rnacentral:other from 1 species